AGCAGCCGAGGUCCCCGAAAGGCGCCUAAGCUUCCUUCUAGAAUUCAUUCCUUGCCUGAGUGCUUUCUUCCCUUCAUCUCAUACAUUUGAAAUUUUCUUUGUGGAAAAAACAUGAGCUGUGCGGUGAUAUGAAGAUGUUUCCCUCAGGUCCCUUUGUGACUUUUCUGUGCAAAUGAGGAAGGAUGGGCUGGAUUGACCUGGAACCUUCCAACAGAGCCUCUCUCUUCAUAAUGAAAAAGAUUGCUCAGAUCCUAUUCCCAAGCUGACCCCUUACAAUGUUUG